UACAGAGGGUGCGAGCGUUGUUCGGAAUUAUUGGGCGUAAAGGGCGCGUAGGCGGCGCCACAAGUCACUUGUGAAAACUCUGGGCUCAACCCAGAGCCUGCAGGCGAAACUGUGGUGCUGGAGUAUGGGAGAGGUGCGUGGAAUUCCCGGUGUAGCGGUGAAAUGCGUAGAUAUCAGGAAGAACACCCGUGGCGAAAGCGGCUCUCUGGAACGGUACUGACGCUGAGACGCGAAAGCGUGGGGAGCGAACAGG
rnacentral:rRNA from 1 species